rfam:Planctomycetes bacterium RIFCSPLOWO2_12_38_17 rifcsplowo2_12_sub10_scaffold_381, whole genome shotgun sequence.
UAAGUAGACGAGGUGGUCGUCGGUUUCUAUUUAAAAGUAGAAACGGGAGGAAAGUCCGAGCUCCACAGGACGCAGUGCUCCGUAACGCGGAGUCCCGGUAACGGGAAGGAAAGUGCAACAGAAAAUAUACCGUCUCGCCUUCUUCUUGUAAAACAAGAGGAUUAUGGUGUGAUAAGGGUGAAAAGGUGGGGUCAUUUAUUGACUUAAUGUAAGAGCCCACCGCUCCAGUGGUGACAUUGGAGGCAUUGCAAACCCCACUGGGAGAAAGGCUAAAUAGAGAGGGAUGAAGUGGUCCGCUUCGCUAUUACCUCUGGGUAAGCCGUUGGAUCUUGUCGGCAACGGCAAGACUAGAUAAAUGACCGCCCAUGACAGAACUCGGCUUAUUGUCUGCUUAAUAA